rnacentral:rRNA from 1 species
GCCCUUACUCCUGCGGGAAGGCAGCAGUAGGGAAUCUUCCACAAUGGACGCAAGUCUGAUGGAGCAACGCCGCGUGAGUGAAGAAGGUUUUCGGAUCGUAAAGCUCUGUUGUUGGUGAAGAAGGAUAGAGGUAGUAACUGGCCUUUAUUUGACGGUAAUCAACCAGAAAGUCACGGCUAACUACGUGCCAGCAGCCGCGGUAAUACGUAGGUGGCAAGCGUUGUCCGAAUUUAUUGGGCGUAAAGCGAGCGCAGGCGGAAGAAUAAGUCUGAUGUGAAAGCCCUCGGCUUAACCGAGGAACUGCAUCGGAAACUGUUUUUCUUGAGUGCAGAAGAGGAGAGUGGAACUCCAUGUGUAGCGGUGGAAUGCGUAGAUAUAUGGAAGAACACCAGUGGCGAAGGCGGCUCUCUGGUCUGCAACUGACGCUGAGGCUCGAAAGCAUGGGUAGCGAACAGGAUUAGAUACCCUGGUAGUCCAUGCCGUAAACGAUGAGUGCUAAGUGUUGGGAGGUUUCCGCCUCUCAGUGCUGCAGCUAACGCAUUAAGCACUCCGCCUGGGGAGUACGACCGCAAGGUUGAAACUCAAAGGAAUUGACGGGGGCCCGCACNAGCGGUGNANCAUGUGGUUUAAUUCGAAGCCACCCCGAAAANCCUUACCAGGUCUUGACNUCUAGUGCCCNUUUGUANAGAUACAAAGUUCCCCUUCGGGGANCCUUANAACAGGGNGGGGCCNUGGCUNGUCGUCCACCUCCUGCCCNUNANAUGUUGGGGUUUANUCCCCNCAACGAGCGCAACCC